ensembl:lncRNA
CCCGAGCCGCGCCUGGCGGAGGCGGACGGCGCGAAGGGCAGCGGCAGCGCUUCGCCGCCGCCUUGAGGGACUGCGCGCGGCCUUGCUGUUUCCCUGCUGGCGAAAGCCGAGACAAAAGGUGGUAGGUCACAGCUGGAAGCACUUCACAGGACCCUGCUGUCCUUCAGAACCCGAUGACUCAGCUCAGACUAUUUCUGUAUCCAGAGAUGGGAGUGAAGAUGUAUCUGAUGCAGCUUUAAACCUGUCAUCUUUGGUCAAAUUCGCUGUUUAGAAUGACAGUAUGGUACUCCAUAUGGUCAACAAAAUCUGUCAGGGAGUUUUGGUAGACAUUCAGCUGCUGGUUCCCAUUGAAGCCUGGGCUGCUAUAGAGACGUUCCUAUCUGUACCUGAGCUUCCUAAUUUAAAGUAGUUAUGUCUGUAUCAAGCACACCCACUCUGGUCUCAGUUUAGAUACAGAACUGUCUCACAAGUUAACUAAACCUGGUUAGAGCAAAGCAGUAGUCUUUGCCUAAAUUAACUGAUUGGAUUUAGAAUUGUGUGGGAGCCUAGUUUUAGCACAACAUGGUACACCAUGGAAAAAGGAAGUGUCACAUUGUCCUCAUGAGAUUCUGGUUUGAGGUAAUCUGCUUUUUUCCAUUUUCUAGUGUAUGUAAAAGAGAAGAUAAGGGUAGAGGGAAAAAGGAAAGGAUAAGUGAUGAGAUCUUCAAUCUUAAUUCUAUCCUAUCACCAUUGCCUGUGCAUCAGAAAGGGUAAUAGCUGCUGUGUUGAGCAGAAGGCAAACUGCCAAGUGAUUGCCUCUUAGCGAUAGAUCUGCUUUCUUCCUGAAGCAACCAGGGGAUUAAAAGGUUGGGAUUUGGAGUAGAAGAAAUGCUUCUGCCUCUUUUGCUGUUAUGAGUUGUAGAUGGGUCAUAUCAGCUAUCAUGUGAAAGUUACAAAAGUGUACAAGCAGUUUUCUUCCUUUUUCAGGUCCUGAAAGAGUUUUCUACCCUAAUAUACCCUCCUUUUUCCACUGUGUUAGUUGCUCUGGUGAAUACCACCUUCCCUAUGGCUCUCACCUAAGCUAUGUAUACGUAUGUCAACAGUUUAAGGGCUGGUUUAGCCUGGUUCCAUGACUAAUGGGGUAGGGGGACCCACGGACCCAUGCCCCAGGAAAAAGGAAUGGAGAAAAAGUAGUGAAAUGGGCCUAAAAACAAGACAGUGUCAACAAUCUGAGGAGAAAGGUAAUUUACUGAAGAAAGAUAUUGGAAUGCAAGAUAACACAAUAUAAUGCAAUAUAAUUGGAGUUGAAGCUAAUAAAUAAAAUGAGAGAGUGUGUCCAAAAAUCGAAGGCCUUACUCUAGUGCUGAAGGCAAGAUGUCUAGCUGGGACAAACAGAAAGGCGAAAGUGAGGGACAUCUUGUGAUAUGCAAACAGUUUUAUCUCUCCCUCCGAAUGGAAAAUGGAAACAGAACAACGCAAAAUCCUCUGGGGUAUGUUGUAUGUCAUCGUUGUUCUCUUCUGAAAACCAGGUACCCAGAACUAUCCACGGACCUGGAGUGUUAACUCUUUAAUUCUCAGUGCACUACAUGAUGUUAGGAUAUGGAAUACCAAUAACAAAAAACCAUAAAACCAUGAAACAUGCUACAUCAGCAGAACUGUGGUAUUCUGGGAGUAGUUGCAUAUAGAGUGAGGGCUUCUCCUUGUAUAGCUCUGAUGAUGAAAGAUCACAUCUUCACUCAUCAAGCACAAUAAAGUUCAUACCUACUAUACUUUACAUUUGUUUUACUGGCUCCCUAUAAGCUUGCUUAGAGGCUCUGCUGUUGCACAGAUAUUUAUUUAGAACAUAUAUUAUUAUAAUUAACUAUGCUGUGUUUCAGUUUAUAUGUUAGCCAGAAACCACCCUCCUGCAAUUUUUUGACGUAUUUUGCAUGUUUUUAAAGUAUUUUUAAUAUAACACCAUUACCAAAAGUAAAGAACUUUCUCAGUGUAGCCUAGCUGUUUAAUUUUUUUUUCCCCUAUAGGACUUCAAUUGCUUAAAGGCAGUUGGUGCUGAUUUCCUUAUCUGCUCUGAAGGAAAAAAAAGGUGUUGUCAGAAAGAUCAAAAAGAGCACAAUAAUGCUAUUUGAUAGUGCAAAUUCUCAGCUACAAAACACUGUUUUUUCAACAUAGUCACCUUCAUUAGCUAUGCAUUUUUGUCAGCGAUGAACAAGAGCCUGCAUGCUAUGCUCAUGAAAAUCUGCACCGGUGGAGGUGACCACUGCUACCAGUGCUAAAGUGCACCACCCUCCAUCUCGUUGUUUGGUCUCCGUAAAUGUUCAGCAGUUGCUGACGAAUGUCAGUGGGUGCCAUUGUUUCCACAUGGAGAAAUUCAGUGCCACACCUACGCUUCAAGCAUGCUUUUAUAUCAGACUGCCCCUCUGCUGCCACCUGUCACAUGGCAACAAAUGUAAAGAAUAUUGGUGGGAAGGUUCAACUUCUACUGCCAUACCACCAACAGCUGCUUCUGAUGUGGGCCAACAUAAUAAGAGGCAUUACUUUUGGAGCAGCCCUCAUAAAAUACCUCUGAAGAAAUCUGGCCUCAGGCUGAAAAAAGUCCCAUAGGUUAUGGUUAUUUCCACUCUAAAAUAAAUAGUGAUGGUUUCAUAACAAGGUGUAGAUGUAAAAAGCAUUAUUGAUCACCGCUGGAAUAUGUUUAGCCGUAACACCGUGCAUCUAACUGUAAAUUCCCUAACUGGACAUUUAUACAUCAGAGAAGUCAGGUAUAAACACGAUAUAUUGAACUGCAAUUAUGUUACAAAAUAGAAUCACUAAUCAGGUACAUUCCCUUAGAAAACUGAGAUUAGGGACAGGAAAUAUCUCCCAUGUCUUUAUAUAAAAAUAAUUAGUUUUUCUCUAAUGGCUUGUUAACCGAAGCAUUUAAGGCCUGUAGUUUUAUAGGUAUUGUUUAACUGGUAUAAUUUCAUCUUUUAGAAAGGCCUAUUUUCAUAUGUUUAGAUACUAUGAAGAAAAGGAUUGUCUGUAGUAGGGUCAGACAUUUUUAUGCCAGUACAAUUCCAUUUUCCCUGUUACAACUUUCCUAACCCUCCAAACUUCAUAGCUAAGUAGAAUAAUUAUAGUUGCACAAACAACUGUCCAAAGCUUAAUGAACUACAUAACCACUCUUCACCAGUUUCAGCAAUAAAGGUAUGUUUAAACAUCUUUCUUAGUAUAUGAUUUGUUUAUUUGUAUUUUCAGGGCAGCUUUCCUAUUUAAAAUAAUAUUCACUGACACCUUGACAUAUUUCUGUUGUUCAACUUGUUUGGCUUCUGGGGUUUUCUUAGUAAGUUUUGGUGUAAGUAUUUUUCCCUUUUAUUUUUUGUAUUUGUAUAUAUGACCAAUCUACCUGAUGCUUCAUAACUUCUUUUCUGAGGCAAAUAAUAAAACACAGAAAGGAAAAAAUGAUGUUCUUUACUCUUUGUGUAACACAUACCUAAAUGCAGUCACUGAGAUACAACAGUCUCGGGUAAUGGAAAGAUACCAUAAUAUUCCUACCAAAGGAUGCUUCUCUGCUUACUGUACUAAGUUUAAAAAUGGUGAAUGAAUUAAUAUUUUAAAGUAUGAAAUUCAGAAGAUAAUGAGAAGUCAAGGAGACAUUUCCUUUUGACUUCAGUAGGUCCUAUCAAACCUGUGUUUGAAGUUUUUCCAUCCAUUAUUUUCUUUCUUUUGAUGUAAAAAUGUCAUCUAGCUGCAUGUCUUAAUUAGAAUAAGUAAAUGUAAGGAUAAAGUUUAGCUUUGCUCUGAAGUAAUUAUACAAAUGCUUGUGGUCCUGUAAGUAUGGUGUUGACUUUUUUUUAUGUUGACUCUAUCAUGCUUAGAAGUCCCACCACCUGACAGAGAGUAAUCUGGCACAUACACAGGAAGAAGAGACCCUUUAUUCUGUGUAUUUCCCAUGAUUAUUUGAAACUAAUUCCUUUUUACUGAUGUUGUGUACGCAUUGAAUCCUUAAAUUUUUACAACGAGGAACUUAGUUUAUCACAUCUUAUCCCCCAUUUUUACCAGUGAAACAGUGACUGAAGGAAACCGCUGUCCUCAGCUGAAAAUACAACAGGUUGUAGGUUUUUAUUGUUCAACUUUCUAUAUAUGGAAAACAAAGAGUUUAGAAUCUUGCUGGCCAGCUGGGCUGAUUGUUCAAAAGCCAGAGAUUCUGUUACAUAUAUCUGAGCUAUGGGUCAUCUCCUUUUUAAUGUCAUACAAUUAGCCAGUACAUUUUUAUUCUGUUACUGGUAAUAUUAAACAGGAUGUGACCAAAAUUAUCUCUUUGUACUGAACAUUGUAGGAGUUAAACUUGUUGCUAAUUCUUCAGUGGUGAUUGCAUGUGGAGACCCUUCUCUAGCCCAUUUCAGCUUAUAUAAUUGGCUAAUGUGUACCAUGGUGGUAGUCAAAAGAGGUUCUAUUAAGCCUUGAAGAAGUCUCGGCCAAGCUUAUAAUUAUAUCUCCCCAUUAUUAUAACUUUCUUAAUUCUUAGCUAAUCGUGUUUGAGUGUCAACAAUCCUAUUUGCCAAGCCUCCGUACCUACAAUUAUCCAGGUCAUCUGAUCUUAUUUAUUGACUAAGUUUUGAAACAUUCAUUUUCAUUUGUUUUAUAUCACUAUAAAACAUGGACCUGUUUUCCAGGUUUAUUGAAAACUGUCCUUUUUUAUCAAUCAAUAGGGGUUAGUAAUCUCUACUGAAAUCAUUCUGGCAGAUGUGCGUAUUACUAUGUGGAUUACUUUUGUGUAAUGCUUUUUGUCUUUUCCUAAAAAGAAAAAAAUAAAACAUUUCUCACAGUACGAUAUACAUGCAUUCCUAAAGGUCAUUCUCCUAACCAAUGUGUAGACUGUCCUAAAUAUUCUUCUUUCUUACUGAAGUUUACUUUUACUGCUUGUGAAAUGCCAGCUCCCUGCUACUCAGUUGGUGUUUAUUGUGUAUUAGUAUCGUUAGGCUCAACCUUGUCUCAGGAAAUGUGUGACUAUUGUGCUUUGACUUUGCAAAACAGAGCUACAGCUAUUAAACUGCAAUUUUUAAGGAAACUUGAUUACCAGAAGUUCCUGCUUUCCACUUAGCACAGAUUUAGCUCCUAAUAAUUAAAUUGAUUCCUGUUGUUUAAAUGCAGGUUUGUAUGAUCUCUCGUAUGUUAGUGACAGACGUUCAUAUUUUAAGCAAAAUUCUGUCUGAUGCAGAUCAUACUUUCAUACCAGAAAAGAAAGAGAGGCAGAAAGGAGAUGAAAAGACGCCUUGUCUGUCAGUGCUGCCUUCUUUUCUAUCAUCUGCAUGAGGGAGUACAAAGCAAAAGUAAAGUGUAAGUACGUUUACAUGACCUGCAUUCAACUUCUCCAGUCUAGCAGAAACUCCGAUACAACUGCCGCUCUCUGGCCCCGCCCCUCGCGGGUCGGUUUCGAGGAGGGGCUGCGCGGUCCGCGGACGUCUCUUUGUCACGUGACGCCUCAACGGCACUACAGUUCCCGGCAUGCACAGCGCUCACGGCAGGAUCGGUCG